UAGUCUUUAAUCACAAGGACUUUUCUAGC
rnacentral:piRNA from 1 species